CGUGGGUGCCUUGGUAACAGCCUUGUGUUUCUGUUUCAGGCUCUGCUCAUGGAAGAGAGACUUCCGUGGGAAAUCCUGUGGGGCGAACCUGUUUGGUCCCAUCCUGAUCGCAGUCUCCUUUUUCAGCUUUUUGUCAUCUGAGGAAACAUGCUGUCAGAGAAGCCUUAAAGCAACCAUAAAAAUCCUGGAUAAUUUUAAAGAUGAAAAACCGCCAGCAAUCCCCUACUGCAAUUUAACUUAACCCCAAACUUCUUCCUUUACAAAAUACUACAAAGAAUGAAGAGCACACAGGAGGUUUCUUCAUUGCAUUUCCCACUGGACCCGAAGGAAACUUAAUCUGCAUUUUCUGUCUGACAUGAUGGAAGCUAUGGAAUCUUAA